rnacentral:ncRNA from 1 species
CGCUCAUCCAGAGGGGCAGAGGGAUACGGCCCGUUGAAGCCCCGGCAACCCUCCAGUCGGUUCUUGUCGCACAUCGGUUUCUGUCACACCGGUACGGCGAGGCUCCCGACUAGGGAAGGUGCCAAAUCCGUCUCACGGCGAGAUGCGUCGUGAGGAAGAUGAGGA